rnacentral:rRNA from 1 species
UACGGGGGGGAGCAAGCGUUUGUUCGGAUUUACUGGGCGUAAAGGGCGCGUAGGCGGCCACCGCAAGUCGGUUGUGAAAUCUCUGGGCUUAACCCAGAAAGGUCAACCGAUACUGCGGGGCUAGAGUGCAGAAGGGGCAACUGGAAUUCUCGGUGUAGCGGUGAAAUGCGUAGAUAUCGAGAGGAACACCUGCGGCGAAGGCGGGUUGCUGGGCUGACACUGACGCUGAAGCGCGAAAGCUAGGGGAGCGAACGGG